ACACACACACAUGGGUUGGUCUGAAUGAAAUAAACCCAGAAUUUGAACAAUGAUCUUGCUUCGUGCUUACU